rnacentral:miRNA from 1 species
GGAUUUGGAUCUUUUGAAACUCAAAGGAUACAGGCUCUUGAAACUCAGAAAGGCUUUUUUGCUCAAGAUAUGGUUCUUGCCUUGAGUUUCAAAGGCCUGUUUUGAACCUCA